CGCGCCGACCCGCUCAAUCGUGCUAGUCACGAACCGGGGACCCACACGUACCACUGGGGUGAAUCGCCGGGCCACGGCCCGGGGUAGGGCGAUCUUCCCGCCCGAAUCCGUCAGCUAACCCGGUCGGCGGCAGCGGAAGGAGUU
rnacentral:sRNA from 1 species